GUGCUCGCUUUGGCAGCAAAUAUACUAAAAUUGAAAUGAUACACAUAAGAUUAGCAUGACCCCUGAGCAAGGAUGACACAUAAAUUCAUGAAGCAUUCCAUAUUUUU
ensembl:snRNA U6 U6 spliceosomal RNA